rnacentral:rRNA from 1 species
GACGAACGCUGGCGGCGUGCUUAACACAUGCAAGUCGAACGGAAAGGCCCUGCUUUUGUGGGGUGCUCGAGUGGCGAACGGGUGAGUAACACGUGAGUAACCUGCCCUUGACUUUGGGAUAACUUCAGGAAACUGGGGCUAAUACCGGAUAGGAGCUCCUGCUGCAUGGUGGGGGUUGGAAAGUUUCGGCGGUUGGGGAUGGGAUCGCGGCUUAUCAGCUUGUUGGUGGGGUAGUGGCUUACCAAGGCUUUGACGGGUAGCCGGCCUGAGAGGGUGACCGGGCAGGUGGGGACUGGGAGACGGACCGGACUCCACCGGGAGGCAGAAGUGGGGGGUAGGGCGGGAGGGGCGGGAGCCUGAAGCAGCGACGCCGGGGGGGGGAAGGCGGGCUGGGGGUUGUAAACCACUGUCCGCUGGGACGAAGAGCUAGUGACGGGAAUGGAAAAAGAAGCACCGGCCAAUUACGUG